rnacentral:rRNA from 1 species
UACGGAGGGUGCAAGCGUUAUCCGGAUUCACUGGGUUUAAAGGGUGUGUAGGCGGGUAUUUAAGUCAGUGGUGAAAUCUUCAGGCUCAACCUGGAAACUGCCAUUGAUACUAUUUAUCUUGAAUUCUGUUGAGGUGGGCGGAAUAUAUCAUGUAGCGGUGAAAUGCUUAGAUAUGAUAUAGAACACCGAUUGCGAAGGCAGCUCACUAAACAGACAUUGACGCUGAGGCACGAAAGCGUGGGGAUCAAACAGG